CUGCUUGAAGGUUUGGCUAUCAACUGCAUCACAUUCAAAAUAAAUUAGUAACUUAAUAAAACUGAAUUGGUUACCUUGAUAUGAAGGUUCAGCUACCCACUGUUUGAAGGUUUGACUAACCUCACCCAAAUCUACCCAAUCAAAUUCAUUCUUUUUAUUUUCCCUUCCAAACCUUUUCACAAAUUUCUUAUCUCCCCUCCAUAUCCCAUCCCUCAAACUUUUCAAACACUACUACUUCACUCCACCAUUUCUCUUUCCUCAAAUCCCU
rnacentral:lncRNA from 1 species